rnacentral:rRNA from 2 species
AGCCUUAGUAACGGCGAGUGAAGCGGCUAAAGCUCAAAUUUGAAAUCCUUCGGGAAUUGUAAUUUGUAGGUUUAUACUAGGUUAUUAGUUAAAGUCUUCUUGGAAAAGAGUGCCAUAGAGGGUGAUAGCCCCGUUUAAACUUUUACCGAUUGUAGUAUAAUACCAAAGAGUCGAGUUGUUUGGGAAUGCAGCUCUAAGUGGGUGGUAAACUCCAUCUAAAGCUAAAUAUUGGCGAGAGACCGAUAGCGAACAAGUACAGUGAUGGAAAGAUGAAAAGAACUUUGAAAAGAGAGUGAAAUAGUACGUGAAAUUGUUUGAAAAGGGAAGGGAUUUUGUGAUAGACAUGGUAAUAAAGAACAAUAAUCUCUUGGGGUUAUGUACUCUUUAUUUACUAGGGUAUUAUUUGGGUUAAGAGAAUGAGAAACGUAAAAGAAUGUGGCUUUCUUCGGAAAGUGUUAUAGCUUUUGCUUAUAGUCUACU